UAUAUAAUGGUUUAACCGGAACAGGAGUAUUCCAUGAGUGCAUUGCUGAUUUCCAACUGAAUCGGACCGUCCCAGGCUGGGGCUUGGUUGAAUUUUAUUACAGAGAUGCAACUGGGCAGCUUAUUCCUAAUUCUGGCUCUAGGCUGAAGGAGCCAUCCGUUCCUGCCAGCUCCCAAUUCACUGAAGAGCACUCUCAAUGCACCAGGGACGUGGGGGGCAAAGGAGCCCAGCUAGAUCAGCUCACAUAGUUACAGAAGCAGCUCAGGAACAAGGUGGACCCCAUCUCUGCUUAGCAGUCCUUCUUCCUGGCACAGC